rnacentral:rRNA from 1 species
UACGAAGGGGGCUAGCGUUGCUCGGAAUCACUGGGCGUAAAGGGUGCGUAGGCGGGUCUUUAAGUCAGGGGUGAAAUCCUGGAGCUCAACUCCAGAACUGCCUUUGAUACUGAGGAUCUUGAGUUCGGGAGAGGUGAGUGGAACUGCGAGUGUAGAGGUGAAAUUCGUAGAUAUUCGCAAGAACACCAGUGGCGAAGGCGGCUCACUGGCCCGAUACUGACGCUGAGGCACGAAAGCGUGGGGAGCAUACAGG